UUGUCCUCCCUCUUUCUUUCCUUCUUGCUCCCUUUCUCUCUAGUUUUUUCGUGGGUUUUUUUGUUAUUUUUUUUUCUUUUUUUUUUUUUUUUAUCUUCCUUCCUUUUCCUACUCCUUGUUUCUUUCUCUCCCUGGCUUUUGUGCCAGGGGCCGUGACGAAUGGCUCAGAAAAGAGGGUGCUGUGAGAAACUGGAGCUGCUGCUGGCAGAGUGGGUGCUCUUUCAUCAUCUGCCUGCCUCCCUCCAGCCUCCCCGUGGUUCCUCCAAGGUUCCUUUGUGGUCCUAAUCAAAGCCUGACAGGAGCCAACAAACAGCUGUCAGGUGUGACAAUGUCCAUUGCCUUACCCUGGCAGAGUUUCUUGACCUGGGCUGGCACAAGGAAUAGGAGUAACAUCUCAAGGUGCUUUGGCUGUGGAGGACAUUACUCUUCUGAUGGCACCACUUGGACUUUGAAGAGCUUUCACUGUCCUCAGAAAGGUGUGUUCUGGGGCACGGGGACAGGCACCUCCUUCGCAGAAGCAACUCUGUGAGGAGUUGGAUCAGCCGAGGUCCCUCUGGCAGGAGAAGAGACCUCCACACUGGACCAGGCAGCCUAGACUGCCAGACGUGUCCCAUGGGUACCUGGUAAUGGUGCCACUCAUUUCCACAGAACCACGGAAUGGUAGGGGUUGAAAGAGCUCUCGAAACAUCAUCUAGUCAGAGCAGGAGGGGGUUUCCCUGCAGGCACAUCCAGAGGUCCAUCAUGCAACAUACCCUGCAGUAGGACAAUCCCUACCCAGCUCUCACUGGAAGCUCCCAGUGCCACCCAACUCCUACUCUCCUGCUCUACCUCAACCUGCCCUGCUGCCCCGGAGCUCGCUCUGAGCCAACCUUGGCUCCUCGUCUUAUGCAAGUAGAGAUGAAAAUAAACUCCAGUGAAGGGUC